rnacentral:rRNA from 1 species
GCAGGAUAGGUGGGAGGCGUUGAAAAUUUUCUUGCGGGAAGAUUGGAGCCGUUGGUGAGAUACCACUCUAACAAUGCUAGGAUUCUAAUCCUACACCGUUAUCCGGUUAGGGGACAGUUUCAGGUGGUCAGUUUGACUGGGGCGGUCGCCUCCCCAAAGGUAACGGAGGCGUGCAAAGGUUUCCUCAGGCUGGUCGGAAAUCAGUCGUAGAGUGUAAAGGCAUAAGGAAGCUUGAUUGUGAGACCUACAAGUCGAGCAAAGACGAAAGUCGGCCUUAGUGAUCCGACGGUUCCGAGUGGAAGGGCCGUCGCUCAACGGAUAAAAGUUACUCUAGGGAUAACAGGCUGA